CUGAUUUCUGUCAGUUCUGGUGAAACAUCAGGAAUUAGACCAAUGUGAGGAUACUGAACAUCACAACGUCUCCUGUUUCCUGUUAGCACAAACACCUCUGUGUCUCUGAGCCACAAACUGGCUGAAAGUCGGGAACUGAUGAAGCCAAACUCAGGAGCUGAUUUCUGUCAGUCCUGGUGAAACAUCAGGAAUUAGACCAAUGUGAGGAUACUGAACAUCACAACGUCUCCUGUUUCCUGUUAGCACAAACACCUCUGUGUCUCUGAGCCACAAACUGGCUGAAAGUCGGGAACUGAUGAAGCCAAUCUCAGGAGCUGAUUUCUGUCAGUCCUGGUGAAACAUUAAGAAGUGGACCAAUGUGAGGAUACUGAACAUCACAACGUCUCCUGUUUCCUGUUAGCACAAACACCUCUGUGUCGCUGAGCCACAAACUGGCUGAAAGUUGGGAACUGAUGAAGCCAAACUCAGGUUUGUGUUUUA